rnacentral:rRNA from 1 species
CCUACGGGUGGCAGCAGUGAGGAAUAUUGGUCAAUGGACGGAAGUCUGAACCAGCCAUGCCGCGUGCAGGAAGACGGCUCUAUGAGUUGUAAACUGCUUUUGUACAAGGGUAAACCUGAAUACGUGUAUUCAGCUGAAAGUACUGUACGAAUAAGGAUCGGCUAACUCCGUGCCAGCAGCCGCGGUAAUACGGAGGAUCCAAGCGUUAUCCGGAUUUAUUGGGUUUAAAGGGUGCGUAGGCGGAUUGAUAAGUUAGAGGUGAAAUGUCCGAGCUUAACUCGGGAACUGCCUCUAAUACUGGUGGUCUAGAGAGUAGAUGCGGUAGGCGGAAUGUGUGGUGUAGCGGUGAAAUGCUUAGAGAUCAUACAGAACACCGAUUGCGAAGGCAGCUUACCAAUCUAUAACUGACGUUGAGGCACGAAAGCGUGGGGAGCAAACAGGAUUAGAUACCCCUGUAGUC